rnacentral:rRNA from 1 species
UACGUAUGGUGCUAGCGUUAUCCGGAUUUACUGGGUGUAAAGGGAGCGUAGGUGGCCUGGCAAGCCAGAAGUGAAAACCCGGGGCUCAACCCCGCGGACUGCUUUUGGAACUGUUGGGCUAGAGUGCAGGAGGGGUAAGCGGAAUUCCCAGUGUAGCGGUGAAAUGCAUAGGUAUUGGGAGGAACACCGGUGGCGAAGGCGGCUUACUGGACUGUAACUGACACUGAGGCUCGAAAGCGUGGGGAGCAAA